UUCAUCACGAUGGUGUCCUAGAAAUCUUGUUGGUCUAGACUUUCCGGCUUCUUCCAUCUCCCGAUAACCAUGCGCGUUUCUCGAAUCUUUCGCAAAGCGCAAUUAUUUUGAAUUUGUGGUGCCUUUUUGUCGCGCUAGGCAUUUUUACAAUUUUUGGUAGGAUAAACCUACACAUUGUUCCUCAAUAUGAAACUGAUCUUGUUAUUACUUUUCGUUUUGUGUACCUUGAUUUUUAAAAGUGAAAGUAAUGUAAGACUGAAGGCGAAUGAAGACUGGCGAGCAAUGGAAAGAGCUAAAAGCAUGGUGUCCAUGUGGGCCAAAAAAAUAGGCGCCAAACUUCAGCAGUUGAGCAAAAAGAUGACAAGAGAAGACGAGGUAGAAAAGAGCUUUGUAAUACUUGAAGACAAACUAGUCCAAGAAGAUGCAGCAGAUCUAAUACACGACGUAGCCUAUGAUAUUGAGACAAUGAUGAAACAAAAGGAAGAAGCUGUUCAUAACAUCGCCGAUUACAUGGAAUUUAUUCAUUAUCAUCGUAAUGAUACACCGUUAUUUGAAAACGGCACCUAUGAGUAUUUUAAUGCUGAUAAUUUAACUUCUACUGAUUAUACUCCUGAAGCUUUGGACGAUCUGCAUUCUAUUAUUCUUAAUAAUGAAUGCCAUUGGAAAUGUGAACAACCAAGCAAGUCAGAUCUUACAAAUAACAAGUUUGCAAAUCCAAAAAGAAGACUUAAACUUUUUGCUCCACGAGACAAUGAAGAAGGCAGAGAAUGCAACUGUAAGCAUUUACCAGAAAAAGAAAGACCUCGGCGUACAUAUGAGAGUCUGCCAUUAAAAGAUGAUUCCAGGUUUGGGACUAAGGUCAACUUGGAUAUUAGUAUUGCUAAGUUAGCAUUAAAUGUAUACGAGAGAGAACAAGAUGUACUAGAGGGAUUAAGAUGGUCUGAAGCUUUAGAUUUGGUAUUUAAAGAAAAUUAUAAGAAUGAUCAUACACUUACCUGGCAGUACUUUGCUAGUCCUAAAGGAUUCAUGAGACAUUAUCCAGCUGUUCAAUGGGAGGAUGAAAACUACAAAAAAACCUAUGACUUCCGCACACGAACUUGGUACACAGAAGCAUUUACUUCUCCAAAAGAUAUAAUCAUACUGGUAGACAGAUCAGGAUCUAUAAUCGGAACAAGACGAGCCCUGUCCGACCAAAUUGUUAACCAGAUAUUAGAUACUCUCAAUGACAAUGAUUUUGUUAAUAUCUAUACGUUUGCAAAUUUUACUGAGCCCCUUGUGAAAUGUUUCAAUGAUACACUCUUUCAGGCAAACGAAGAAAAUUUGAGAUUACUAAGGCAAGCUAUUCCAGUUUACGAAGAAAUGUUUGCAGCAGAUUUAACUAUUGGUAUUAGUAAGGCAUUUGAUAUUUUAGAAAAUUUCAGAAGGACGCAAACAAGUGCUAAUUGCAACCAGGCUAUAAUGGUAAUUCAUGAAGGGCUUGAUUAUGACUACGAUAAAGAAAUAUAUGCCAAUAGAAACUGGAAGAAAAACUUUCCUGUGCGAAUUUUUACUUACCAACUAGGUCAGGAUACAACAGACGCCAGAGAAUUGGAAUGGAUCGCAUGUUCAAAUAUGGGUUAUUGGGGCAAUAUAACAGAUAUGGGGGACAUACGUGAGAAAAUGCUCCAAUAUCUUAAUGUUAUGUCCCGUCCCAUAAAUUUAAAAGCUGACAAGAAUCGAACAUUUAUAUGGAGUUACCUUCACGUGGACCUUGCAGAUAGAAGACUGUCAAACUGGCUGUGGAAAAAAUUUGAGGGCAUACGACAAAGAGAUGUCUUCUUAGAUUACAUCAAAAGGGGUAUUUUUCGACAGAAUUUGAUGUUAACCAGCGAAAAACAUAUGCUUUUAAAAGAGGAAUACACUUAUCAAACUUACCUCUCCUACCAAAGAGAUAAUUCUGCAUACGAUUAUAUGACCACAGUUUCUUUACCUGUGUUUGCAAGAAGACCACAUGAAUAUCAACUGUUGGGCGUAGCAGGCAUAGAUGUUCCCUUAAGUUUAUUUAAACAGCUCAUCCCUUACGAAAGGUUAGGGGUAAAUGGUUACGCCUUUAUUGUUACUAAUAACGGCUAUAUUCUUACACAUCCGGAUCAUCAUACAGAGUUUCAGUAUAUUUUAAAACCUACGUUCAAUCGAGUAGACAUCUUAGAAGUAGAGAUUCUAAAUGAUGAUAAGGAGCCCAGAAUGUUUGGAGACUCAGUAGUUAAGUUUCGAAAAAAACUAGUUAACCAGGAAAGCAGUGUCAACGUAACCCUAAAAGUCAAAUAUGCUUUGAAUGACAAUAAACGGUUGAUGUUUGCUCAUAGACACUACUAUUUUGCUGCAAUUGGACCUUUCACACUCUGCGUUGUACUGCCGCAUAAAUACGGAUUUGACAUUGUUAACAAAACAUUGUUAGAGCGUCCCAGUGUCAAAAGCAGUGCUUCUUCUUUAGCUUCGUCCUAUUGGAAAGUACAUCCAGAUUGGAUCUAUUGUAAAAAAUGUGUAGGUGAUACCCCAGAAGAUAAAGUAAGGUCCGCAUUCAGCUUGAAUGAAAACUCAUCCCUUCUGACUUCACUCCUAUACGAUAUGGAAGCCACAAAAUGGUUUGACGAAUAUGGCGGGUCUGACCCCGUAGAAGAACAAUUCGUCAUAGAUUAUCAAGUUCACAAAGUGUUUUUAGCCACCUAUUCGGGAUUGACCAGAUGGAGAAACUUUGAGGACAUCAAUAAUAUAAGGGAAGAAGAUGAAGAUAGUUUUGAGAAGAGGAAUAAUCGAGCUAUUGAUGAGGACUGGUAUCGAAGAGCUGUGGAAUUGAAUUUCGGAGAUGAAAGUAUGUUUAUAUAUUCAGUUCCGUGGGAAACAUCUGGUUAUGAAAAUAAUACAAUGAUUACGAGUACCAAAGCUAUAUUUGUGGAGAAUGGCGAUCUUAAGAGCCCGGUGGCGGUUGUAGGACUUCAGUUCAAUCACAGAGAAAUGUAUGAAUGGUACAAUGAUAUUACUACGCAGUGUAAAGAAACUCGAUGUAAAAUAACCUGCAAGCACAAAGAUCUAAACUGCUAUAUCCUAGACAAUAACGCCUACAUCGUUCUCAGCGAUGAACCUGAAUAUAUAGGAAGAUAUAUCGGAGACAUCCGACCGGACAUUCUAUCAGAUCUCAUCGACGAUAAAAUUUUCAUACCAACAAGAAUGUUCGAUUAUCAAGCAAUUUGCCAAAAGAUUCCUCCAAAGAAAGAACCGGAGGCUGUGCGCAUUCGAAAAAGGAAAGAGAAGAUGGCGGCGAAAAAACCAAAAGCCAGAGCUGUGAAGAGUUCUGCUGCGCCUACAGUUGUAAAAGUUUUUUGGAUCAUUCCAAACAGAAAAGGUCUUUAGUGACAUUUCUCUAAAGUUGAAAGUUUUUGACAUAUAAGCUAUUAAAAAUUGAAAAAUUGCGAAGUCGUCCAUAUUUAACCCUCAAAAACUAUGUGAAAAACUGAAAAAUUGAAUGUUGCGAAGAUAAUGAAUCAUUUUUGGGCUUUAAAAGAUUGGCUUGUAACUACAUUUUAUCUUCUCUUUAAUGUAGUGACAGGUCAAGAAGAUGAAAUCUAUAAUAGCACUAAAGAGGAGUAUAUAAACUUUGCUAAACUAAUAAUCGAAAAAACAGUACCAACGCCCUGCGAUCAAGAAAGAUGGUUGUUUAACUUAAAUACCAGUGCCAAAUUUCCAUUUAGUCAGUUUGUAGAAGGGACAAAAUUUCAAUGCAGUUGGUAA
rnacentral:misc_RNA from 1 species